CUGCAAAGUGCUGCAGCGGCCCCAGUUCUGAUAAGCGCUCAUCGGGGUGCAGCUCACCCCGCAGCCCCACACUGGGAACCUUGUGGGGGGGCUCCUGGCCGCCCCUCAGGUGCCCCACGAUGCCGUUUGCGGCACAGAUCCCGUUUGUGCUCCAGGCGGCUCUCAUAGGACGCGUCCUUCCCAUCCACCCUCUCCAGCAGUCUCUGUACGAAUUCUCUCGCCGUUCCAUCCCGUCCCGCUGCGCGUCUCCGCGCCGCCCCUCCGCGCCCCUUCAGUUCC
rnacentral:lncRNA from 1 species